UGUGUGAAGAAGGCCUUCGGGUUGUAAAGCACUUUCAGCAGGAAAGAAAGUCUUAAAGUUAAUACCUUUAAUGAGUUGACGUUACCUGCAGAAGAAGCACUGGCUAACUCUGUGCCAGCAGCCGCGGUAAUACAGAGAGUGCAAGCGUUAAUCGGAAUUACUGGGCGUAAAGCGCGCGUAGGUGGAUAUUAAAGUCGGGUGUGAAAGCCCCGAGCUUAACUCGGGAAUUGCGCUCGAUACUGAGUAUCUAGAGUAUAGUAGAGGGAAGUGGAAUUUCCGGUGUAGCGGUGAAAUGCGUAGAUAUCGGAAGGAACACCAGUGGCGAAGGCGGCUUCCUGGACUAAUACUGACACUGAGGUGCGAAAGCGUAGGGAGCAAACAGGAUUAGAGACCCUGGUAGUCCACGCUGUCAACGAUGAGAACUAGCUGUUAGAAAAC
rnacentral:rRNA from 1 species